rnacentral:rRNA from 1 species
CAAACUGAAGAUGGCGACCGGCGCACGGGUGAGUAACACGUAUCCAACCUGCCGAUAACUCUGGAAUAGCCUUUCGAAAGAAAGAUUAAUACCGGAUAGUAUACGAAUAUCGCAUGAUAUUUUUAUUAAAGAAUUUCGGUUAUCGAUGGGGAUGCGUUCCAUUAGGCAGUUGGUGGGGUAACGGCCCACCAAACCUUCGAUGGAUAGGGGUUCUGAGAGGAAGGUCCCCCACAUUGGAACUGAGACACGGUCCAAACUCCUACGGGAGGCAGCAUG